UCCUACGGGGGGCAGCAGUCGGGAAUAUUGCGCAAUGGAGGAAACUCUGACGCAGUGACGCCGCGUGCAGGAAGAAGGUUUUCGGAUUGUAAACUGCUUUAGACAGGGAAGAAAAAAGACAGUACCUGUAGAAUAAGCUCCGGCUAACUACGUGCCAGCAGCCGCGGUAAUACGUAGGGAGCAAGCGUUGUCCGGAUUUACUGGGUGUAAAGGGUGCGUAGGCGGCUUUGCAAGUCAGAAGUGAAAUCCAUGGGCUUAACCCAUGAACUGCUUUUGAAACUGCAGAGCUUGAGUGGAGUAGAGGG
rnacentral:rRNA from 1 species